ACGGCUCAGUAACACGUGGCUAAUCUGCCCUUAGGACGAGAACAACCCCGGGAAACUGGGGCUAACUCUUGAUAGGUGAAGAACUCUGGAAUGAGUCUUUGCCUAAAUAGAUUCACGUUAUCCUCGUGAAUUUGCCUAAGGAUGAGGCCGCGACCGAUCAGGUUGUUGGCGAGGUAAUGGCUCACCAAGCCUUUUACCGGUGCGGGCCGUGGGAGCGGGAGCCCGGAGAUGGGUACUGAGACAAGGACCCAGGCCCUACGGGGCGCAGCAGUCGCGAAACCUUUGCAAUAAGCGCAAGCUUGACAGGGCUAUCCCGAGUGCCAUCCGCUGAGGAAGGCUUUUACCCAGUCUAGAACGCUGGGGGAAUAAGGAGAGGGCAAGUCUGGUGUCAGCCGCCGCGGUAAUACCAGCUCUCCGAGUGGUGUGGAUGUUUAUUGGGCCUAAAGCAUCCGUAGCUGGCUAGGUAAGUCCCUUGUUAAAUCCACCGAAUUAAUCGUUGGAUCGCGGGGGAUACUGCUUGGCUAGGGGACGAGAGAGGCAGACGGUAUUUUCGGGGUAGGGGUGAAAUCCUAUAAUCCCGGGAAGACCACCAGUGGCGAAGGCUGUCUGCUAGAACGCGCCCGACGGUGAGGGAUGAAAGCUGGGGGAGCGAACCGGAUUAGAUACCCGGGUAGUCCCAGCUGUAAACGAUGCAGACUAGGUGUUUGGACGGCCACGUGCCGUUCUAGUGCCGCAGGGAAGCUGUUAAGUCUGCCGCCUGGGGAGUACGAUCGCAAGAUUGAAACUUAAAGGAAUUGGCGGGGGAG
rnacentral:rRNA from 1 species